rnacentral:rRNA from 1 species
UACGUAGGGGGCAAGCGUUGUCCGGAAUCAUUGGGCGUAAAGCGCGCGUAGGUGGCCAAGUAAGUCCGCUGUGAAAGUCAAAGGCUCAACCUUUGAAAGCCGGUGGAUACUGCAUGGCUAGAGUACGGAAGAGGCGAGUGGAAUUCCUGGUGUAGCGGUGGAAUGCGCAGAUAUCAGGAGGAACACCAAUAGCGAAGGCAGCUCGCUGGGACGUUACUGACACUGAGGCGCGAAAGCGUGGGGAGCGAACAGG